rnacentral:rRNA from 1 species
UACGGGGGGAGCAAGCGUUGUUCGGAUUUACUGGGCGUAAAGGGCGCGUAGGCGGCGCAACAAGUCACUUGUGAAAUCUCCGGGCUUAACCCGGAAAGGUCAGCCGAUACUGCGGGGCUAGAGUGCAGAAGGGGCAACUGGAAUUCUCGGUGUAGCGGUGAAAUGCGUAGAUAUCGAGAGGAACACCUGCGGCGAAGGCGGGUUGCUGGGCUGACACUGACGCUGAUGCGCGAAAGCUAGGGGAGCGAACGGG